rnacentral:rRNA from 1 species
UACGUAGGGGGCAAGCGUUGUCCGGAAUGACUGGGCGUAAAGGGAGUGUAGGCGGCCUUGUAAGUUAGAUGUGAAAUCCUACGGCUUAACCGUAGAACUGCAUCUAAAACUGUGAGGCUGGAGUGCAGGAGAGGUGGGUGGAAUUCCUAGUGUAGCGGUGGAAUGCGUAGAUAUUAGGAGGAGCACCAGAGGCGAAGGCGACUCACUGGACUGUAACUGACGCUGAGGCUCGAAAGCGUGGGGAGCAAACAGG